CAGGGCUUCGGCGAGAUCUUCAACACUGCUUAUCCUGUGCUGAACGCUAUCGCCAACGACGUUGGAGAUAGCGACGUCAUGGCGGCCAAGGUCCUGGCUCGGUAUAAGCAUAAGGAGAACGCAUCUUCCAGCGCCUUGUUCUCUCCAGUGGACAACGCCUUCAACUAUUAUGACAAGAUGGUCAGCGCACUGAAUGCAGAAGGAAGUUCUAAAGAGCUUCCAAAGAAAGUCGAACGCUCCCUCAGACAAGCAGUAGAAGGCAUGAAA
rnacentral:lncRNA from 1 species